CCUUCCUGAGCAGGUGGGUUGUGAAGGUCCUCCCCCAUGCAGCCCUUCCUGAGCAGGUGGGUUGAAGGUCCUCCCCCAGGCAUGGGCCCUUCCUGGGCAGGUGGGUUGAAGGUCCUCCCCCAGUGCAGCCCUUCCUGGGCUGGCAUGCUCUUUGACAGUGUUCUCCUCUCCCUGUGCCUGGUUCCUCUAAACUUUUCUUUCUCUCCCUCUUAUCACCUAUUCCUGUCAUCUUCUCUUCUCUCCUGAUGUUUUCUUUGAGCAUUCCCAUGUACCUACAUACUUCCCAUGUAUCUGUGGCUCUUAUGAAAACAUUCAAGAGUUAAAUUCUGGAAUUCCUUUCAUAGCAAGAUUACCAUUUAAUCAUGUUCAAAGUUCCUCAAGAUAAAACAUUUAAAACUUUACGUAGUAUAAUUUUUAAAAUUUUGUUCAUAUUUUAUUUUGACAG